CGAGACCACGGGGAAGAACACCACCACGCUGUUGCCUGCUUUGGUUCAGUGGGUUGCCGUGGCGAGUCUGGAGCAAGGCGCGAAAAUCGCGGGUUCAGUCUCAGAUUUGUAGCAGUCAGUGAAAGACUUCGAAUCAAUCGCUAUGUGGCAGUGUAGCUAAAUGAUACAAACCAGCUGCAGCAACAGGAGCACCAAUACCCGUUUUCUCUGCUUGUGAUUCUCCUUCAUAAUUCUUCCAGCUGUGGAUGAAGGUGUGCUGUUUACAUCUUGAACUGGCUAGGAUCCAUGCCUUCAAUAAGAAAUAUCUUUUUGCUUCCCAAUCGAGGUUGUAAUUUUUUUAUACACGUGGUGGCCCCUUUUGUAGCUAAAAGUGUCGGCUCUCAUAGAUGGGACUGCUAUGCAACAUAUUGGUUGCUUAAUGCAAUAUCAUUUAAUGUAAACGUUUCGAUUCGGAUUUAAUAAAAUUUUUGCCAAUUGCCC